UUCUUAUCCAGAGAGGUGGAGGGACUGGCCCUAUGAAACCUCGGCAGCGGGUCUUAUGUGAUGCAUAAGAUACUGUGCCAAUUCCGGCAAACAAUAGGUUUGCGAGAUAAGAA
rnacentral:ncRNA from 2 species